UACGGAGGGUGCGAGCGUUGUCCGGAUUUAUGGGGCGUAAAGAGCUCGUAGGCGGCUUGUCGCGUCGAAUGUGAAAACCCACAGCUCAACUGUGGGCUUGCAUUCGAUACGGGCAGGCUCGAGUUCGGUAGGGGAGACUGGAAUUCCUGGUGUAGCGGUGAAAUGCGCAGAUAUCAAGUGGAACACCAGUGGCGAAGGCGAGUCUCUGGACAUUUCCUGACGCUGAGGCACGAAAGCCAGGGGAGCAAACGGG
rnacentral:rRNA from 1 species